rnacentral:rRNA from 1 species
UUAGAGUUUGAUCCUGGCUCAGGAUGAACGCUAGCGACAGGCCUAACACAUGCAAGUCGAGGGGUAACAGGGGCUUCGGCCCGCUGACGACCGGCGCACGGGUGAGUAACGCGUAUGCAACCUGCCUGUAACAGCGGGAUAGCUCCCUGAAAGGGGAAUUAACACCGCAUAAGACCACGCUCUCGCAUGGGGACGGGGUAAAAUAUUUAUAGGUUACAGAUGGGCAUGCGUGACAUUAGUUAGUUGGUGAGGUAACGGCUCACCAAGACUGCGAUGUCUAGGGGUUCUGAGAGGAAGGUCCCCCACACUGGAACUGAGACACGGUCCAGACUCCUACGGGAGGCAGCAGUGAGGAAUAUUGGUCAAUGGACGCAAGUCUGAACCAGCCAUGUCGCGUGCAGGAUGACUGCCCUAUGGGUUGUAAACUGCUUUUAUAAUAGAGUAACCGGAGGUACGUGUACCUCCCUGCAAGUAUAUAAUGAAUAAGGAUCGGCUAACUCCGUGCCAGCAGCCGCGGUAAUACGGAGGAUCCGAGCGUUAUCCGGAUUUAUUGGGUUUAAAGGGUGCGCAGGCUGAUCGAUAAGUCAGGGGUGAAAAAUUUCAGCUUAACUGGAAUCGUGCCUUUGAUACUGUCGGACUAGAGUGUAACUGACGUGACUGGAAUGUGCCGUGUAGCGGUGAAAUGCUUAGAUAUGUCACAGAACGCCAAUCGUGAAGACAGGUCACGAAGUUACUACUGACGCUCAUGCACGAAAGCGUGGGGAUCAAAAAGGAUUAGAUACCCUGGUAGUCCACGCUGUA